rnacentral:tRNA from 2 species
GCGCCCAUAGCUCAGGGGUUAGAGCACCACUCUUAUAAAGUGGGGGUCGAUGGUUCAAAUCCAUCUGGGCGCACCA